AAAAAGACAAACCCUGAUUUCCGUGUCCAACGUUUGACCGUCCGUCUUAUUUGAAAAAUUAUGAAAAAAAUUAAAAAAACAAGUCACGCAUAAAAUAUUAAUCAUGUUUUAUCAUCUGACAACAAUGAAAAUACGAAUUAUAAAAAAAAUCAUAUAAGACGGACAGUCAAAGUUGGACACGGAAACCCAGGGUUUGCUUUUUU
rnacentral:pre_miRNA from 1 species